rnacentral:rRNA from 1 species
AUUGAACGCUGGCGGCAGGCUUAACACAUGCAAGUCGAGCGAGCGGCGGACGGGAGGCUUAUGUCUGGGAAUCUGCCUGAUGGAGGGGGUUCACUACUGGAAACGGUAGCUAAUACCGUCUACCUUCAGCUGUGCCCAGGUGGGUUUAGCUAGUAGGUGGGGUAAUGGCUCACCUAGGCGACGAUCCGUAGCUGGUCUGAGAGGAUGACCAGCCAAACUGGAACUGAGACACGGUCCAGACUCCUACGGGAGGAAGCAGUGGGGAAUAUUGGACAAUGGGCGAAAGCCUGAUGCAGCCAUGCCGCGUGUAUGAAGAAGGCCUUCGGGUUGUAAAGUACUUUAAGCGGGGAGGCGUUACCCGCAGAAGAAGCACCGGCUAACUCCGUGCCAGCAGCCGCGGUAAUUC